CACGUAGGGGGCAAGCGUUGUCCGGAAUUAUUAGGCGUAAAGAGCUCGUAGGCGGCUCGGUAAGUCAGGUGUCAAAUCCUCAGGCUCAACCUGGGGCUCCACCUGAUACUGCUGUGGCUAGAGUCCGGUAGGGGAGCGUGGAAUUCCUGGUGUAGCGGUGAAAUGCGCAGAUAUCAGGAGGAACACCAGCGGCGAAGGCGGCGCUCUGGGCCGGAACUGACGCUGAGGAGCGAAAGCGUGGGUAGCAAACAGG
rnacentral:rRNA from 1 species